CAGCUAUUCCCUCCAUUCGGAAUUACUUGUCUCAAGAAUGGAUGUAUCUAGAACUAAAAUACGUCUAGAUACAUCCAUUUCUGCGACAAGUAAUUCCAAACAGAGGAAGUAUAUC
rfam:Triticum aestivum genome assembly, contig: Triticum_aestivum_CS42_TGACv1_scaffold_579657_7BL